rnacentral:rRNA from 1 species
AAGUUUUUUUAAAAAUAAUUUUUAAUAAUUUUGUUUAAGUAUAUUUUGUAAAAAAAAUAAUUUUUAUUAUAGUUAAUUAGUAUUAUAAAAGAAUAUUGAAAUAAUUUGAAAAAUUAAAAUUUAUUUAAAGAAAAUUUAGUUUAUUGUACCUUGUGUAUCAGGGUUUAUUAAUUAAAAAAUAAUUUAAUUAUUUUUCUCGAUUUAAAAAGAUUUAAUUUUAUAUUAUAGUUAAUGUUGCAUAAUUAUUAUAAAUUUAAUUUUAGAAAUGAAAGGUUAAUCGUUUUUUAUGAUAUCUAGUUUUUUUAGAAAUAAGUUUAAUUUAUAAAAAUUAGAUUUUUAUUUUUAAUUAAUUUUAAAUUUAAUUUAAAAUUUUUAAAUAAUUUAAGGGAUAAGCUUUAAAUUAAAUAGUUAAAAAUUAAUAUUUUUAAAAGUUAAUAAUAAGCUUAGAAAUAGUUAUUUUUUGUAAAUAUGUAAUAAUUUAUUAUAAAUUUAAAAAUUAUUUAUUAAUUAUUUUAAUUUUUUAUAAAAAUUAUUAUAUAAAUUUUUUAUAUUAUUUAAUAAUGAUAAAAUUAGUAUAUUAUUUUUAAUUUUAUUAAUAUUUAAUUAAUUUAUUUAUUUUUUGUUAUUAAAUUAAAUUUUAUUUAAAAUUUUAAUAAUGAAUUCGGCAAAAUUAAUUUUACUCAAUUGUUUAUCAAAAACAUUUCUUUUUGGUUUAAUUUAAAGUAUAACCUGCCCAUUGAAUUAAUUUUAACGGCUGCAGUAAUUUGACUGUACAAAGGUAGCAUAAUCAUUAGUUUUUUAAUUGAAAACUAGAAUGAAUGGUUGAAUGAAGGAAAAGCUGUAUUAUAAGUAUUAAUAGAAUUUUAUUUUUUAGUUAAAAAGCUAAAAUAAAUUUAAAAGACGAGAAGACCCUAUAGAAUUUAAUAGUUUAUAUUUAUAUUUAAUUAAUUAUAUAAUUUUAAUUUAUAUAAAAAAUUAUUUUGUUGGGGUGAUAGUAAAAAUUAAAUAUCUUUUAUUUUUUUUUUAACAAUAAUUUUUGAAUAGUUGAUCCGUUAUUAAUGAUUAAAAGAUUAAAUUACCUUAGGGAUAACAGCGUAAUUUUUUUAGAGAGUUCUUAUCGAUAAAAAAUUUUGCGACCUCGAUGUUGGAUUAAGAAAAAUUUUUAAUGUAGCAGUUAAAUUAUUUAAGUCUGUUCGACUUUUAAAUUCUUACAUGAUCUGAGUUCAAACCGGUGUGAGCCAGGUUGGUUUCUAUCUUUAAAAUUAUAAUUAUAUUUUAGUACGAAAGGACCAUAUAUAAGAAAAAUAAUUUUUGUAAUUAAUUUUGAAUAUUAUUAAUUAAAAAAUUAUAUUUAAUAAAU